rnacentral:rRNA from 1 species
AUGUGGGGAGGCGGCGAGUUAGUAGCAGUAGGUGGCAAAGUGGCUUUGUUAUCUAUUCCAUUAGGAACCGCAUAUUUUUUAGUCCAUCACAUUCAUGCAUUUACCAUACAUGUGACUGUAUUAAUACUUUUGAAAGGUGUUUUAUUUGCUCGGAGUUCCCGUUUGAUACCCGAUAAAGCAAAUCUAGGUUUUCGCUUUCCUUGCGAUGGGCCUGGCCGAGGGGGAACAUGUCAAGUAUCCGCCUGGGAUCAUGUUUCCUUAGGUUUAUUCUGGAUGUACAAUGCAAUUUCGAUAGUCAUUUUCCAUUUCAGUUGGAAAAUGCAGUCGGAUGUUUGGGGUACUAUAAGUGAUCAAGGGGUGGUAACUCAUAUUACAGGGGGAAACUUUGCAUAG